rnacentral:rRNA from 1 species
GAUGAACGCUGGCGGCGUGCCUAAUACAUGCAAGUCGAGCGAACGGACGAGAAGCUUGCUUCUCUGAUGUUAGCGGCGGACGGGUGAGUAACACGUGGAUAACCUACCUAUAAGACUGGGAUAACUUCGGGAAACCGGAGCUAAUACCGGAUAAUAUUUUGAACCGCAUGGUUCAAAAGUGAAAGACGGUCUUGCUGUCACUUAUAGAUGGAUCCGCGCUGCAUUAGCUAGUUGGUAAGGUAACGGCUUACCAAGGCAACGAUGCAUAGCCGACCUGAGAGGGUGAUCGGCCACACUGGAACUGAGACACGGUCCAGACUCCUACGGGAGGCAGCAGUAGGGAAUCUUCCGCAAUGGGCGAAAGCCUGACGGAGCAACGCCGCGUGAGUGAUGAAGGUCUUCGGGUUGUAAAACCCUUUUAUUAGGGAAGAACAUAUGUGUAAGUAACUGUGCACAUCUUGACGGUACCUAAUCAGAAAGCCACGGCUAAUUACGUG